CCGAAGCUAACGCGAUAAAUCGACCGCCUGGGGAGUACGGCCGCAAGGUUAAAACUCAAAUGAAUUGACGGGGGCCCGCACAAGCGGUGGAGCAUGUGGUUUAAUUCGAUGCAACGCGAAGAACCUUACCUGGUCUUGACAUCCACAGAAUCUUGUAGAGAUACGAGAGUGCCUUCGGGAACUGUGAGACAGGUGCUGCAUGGCUGUCGUCAGCUCGUGUUGUGAAAUGUUGGGUUAAGUCCCGCAACGAGCGCAACCCUUAUCCUUUGUUGCCAUCGAUUAGGUCGGGAACUCAAAGGAGACUGCCGUUGAUAAAGCGGAGGAAGGUGGGGACGACGUCAAGUCAUCAUGGCCCUUACGACCAGGGCUACACACGUGCUACAAUGGCGUAUACAAAGGGAGGCGACCUCGCGAGAGUAAGCGGACCUCACAAAGUACGUCUAAGUCCGGAUUGGAGUCUGCAACUCGACUCCAUGAAGUCGGAAUCGCUAGUAAUCGUGAAUCAGAAUGUCACGGUGAAUACGUUCCCGGGCCUUGUACACACCGCCCGUCACACCAUGGGAGUGGGUUGCACCAGAAGUAGAUAGCUUAACCUUCGGGAGGGCGUUUACCACGGUGUGAUUCAUGACUGGGGUGAAGUCGUAACAAGGUAACCGUAGGGGAACCUGCGGUUGGAUCACCUCCUUAC
rnacentral:rRNA from 1 species